GCUGGCGGCAGGCCUAACACAUGCAAGUCGAACGAGAAGCUAUCCUUCGGGAUAGUGGAAAGUGGCAGACGGGUGAGUAACGCGUGGGAACGUGCCUUUCGGUUCGGGAUAACUCAGGGAAACUUGGGCUAAUACCGAAUACGCCCUUCGGGGGAAAGAUUUAUCGCCGAAAGAUCGGCCCGCGUCGGAUUAGCUUGUUGGUGAGGUAAAAGCUCACCAAGGCGACGAUCCGUAGCUGGUCUGAGAGGAUGAUCAGCCACACUGGGACUGAGACACGGCCCAGACUCCUACGGGAGGCAGCAGUGGGGAAUAUUGGACAAUGGGCGAAAGCCUGAUCCAGCCAUGCCGCGUGGGUGAAGAAGGCCCUAGGGUUGUAAACCCCUUUCAGCGGGGAAGAUAAUGACGGUACCCGCAGAAGAAGCCCCGGCUAACUCCGUGCCAGCAGCCGCGGUAAUACGGAGGGGGCUAGCGUUGUUCGGAAUUACUGGGCGUAAAGCGCGCGUAGGCGGACUUUCAAGUCAGGGGUGAAAUCCCGAGGCUCAACCUCGGAACUGCCUUUGAUACUGUAAGUCUUGAGUCCGAGAGAGGUGAGUGGAAUUCCUA
rnacentral:rRNA from 1 species